AGUGAACGCUGGCGGCAGGCCUAACACAUGCAAGUCGAGCGGCAGCGGGUCGUAGCAAUACGAUGCCGGCGAGCGGCGGACGGGUGAGGAAUACAUCGGAAUCUACCCAGUCGUGGGGGAGAACGUAGGGAAACUUACGCUAAUACCGCAUACGACCUGGGGGUGAAAGCUGGGGACCGCAAGGCCUUGCGCGAUUGGAUGAGCCGAUGUCGGAGUAGCUAGUUGGUGAGGUAAAGGCUCACCAAGGCGACGAUCCGUAGCUGGUCUGAGAGGAUGAUCAGCCACACUGGAACUGAGACACGGUCCAGACUCCUACGGGAGGCAGCAGUGGGGAAUAUUGGACAAUGGGCGCAAGCCUGAUCCAGCCAUGCCGCGUGUGUGAAGAAGGCCUUCGGGUUGUAAAGCACUUUUGUCCGGGGAGAAAUCUUCCGACCUAAUACGUCGGGAGGAUGACGGUACCGGAAGAAUAAGCACCGGCUAACUUCGUGCCAGCCGCCGCCGUAA
rnacentral:rRNA from 1 species